rnacentral:rRNA from 2 species
UACGAAGGUGGCAAGCGUUGUUCGGAUUUACUGGGCGUAAAGGGAGCGUAGGUGGUCGGGUAAGCCCCGCGGGAAAGCUCCAGGCUUAACCUGGAAAGGUCGCGGGGGACUGCGCGGCUAGAGGACGGGAGAGGAGCGCGGAAUUCCCGGUGUAGCGGUGAAAUGCGUAGAGAUCGGGAGGAAGGCCGGUGGCGAAGGCGGCGCUCUGGAACGGCCCUGACACUGAGGCUCGAAAGCGUGGGGAGCAAACAGG